rnacentral:rRNA from 1 species
AUUGAACGCUGGCGGCAGGCCUAACACAUGCAAGUCGAACGAGUGGCGGACGGGUGAGUAAUGUCUGGGAAACUGCCCGAUGGAGGGGGCUAACUACUGGAAACGGUAGCUAAUACCGCAUACCAUCGGAUGUGCCCAGAUGGGAUUAGCUAGUAGGUGGGGUAACGGCUCACCUCGGCGACGAUCACUAGCUGGUCUGAGAGGAUGACCAGCCACACUGGAACUUAGACACGGUCCAGACUCCUACGUGAGGCAGCAGUGGGGAAUAUUGCACAAUGGGCGCAAGCCUGAUGCAGCCAUGCCGCGUGUAUGAAGAAGGCCUUCGGGUUGUAAAGUACUUUCAGCGAGGAGGCGUUACCCGCAGAAGAGGCACCGACUAACUCCGUGCCAGCAGCCGCGGUAAUUC